AUGACCACCUUUCUUUCAUUCAUAUUGAUUAAAUAAACUCCCUUACAAUUUAUCGAUCAAAAAGUGGCAUAAAUAUCGGUAGUUAAUGAUAAUAGACGUGUACAGUGUUUUUAAAACGAUGAUUUACGCGUGAAAUGGUUAUAAAACUUUUGUUUUUAUCUGUGGACUAAUGACCAGACAAUUAUUGGAUUAUUUUAAUGCCAGGAAUUGGUAUUGGAAAUGUCUGAAAGAAUUAGCAAUUAACGCCUGUCCUCGAUGGGCUUUCACGGAAAUAUCGCCGGUCAAACAGCACUAGGAACAGUCUUAAUAAGUGUGCAACAUAGUCCGACUGCUAAAACAUGUGUUUUUCGUUUGAGUACCUCCUGAGAUUACCCGAUAUACUUUAUCUACUCACAUUUGAUUUGCGGUGUUCGAUUCACUGUACUUGCCGUAUCCUUGCAAACCGAUGAGCGCAGCACUGCUUACCUACUGUAUUACCACGCGCCGUCGCUUGCUGGUUUGGAUGUUAUCCGCCGGAUGUUCUAUCAAUUUAUGCUAAUGCCUCACCCGCCGGUUACCUUAUGCAGUUGAUGCUAUCAUCAAAUGAUAAAUGUAUACACAAUAUAUUAAAAUGUAAUUGUUUUA